CGUGGCCAAGUUGGCGCGUCUUGUAUCCCAAAUCCAUGCGGAAUUCCGCAGCCAAACCCGCAGGGGCUGGGUAAAGACUCAUCAGGAGGAGAGCUCUUGUUUUCCCUUCCUUUUGUUCCACCCCAGACAUUCACCCAGUGGAUGCUUCACCUAUUUCUGAAGGCAGGACUGAAUUCUGCAGAUCCCAGUGAUACAAGCACAGACUUGCUGGAAGUGUGAAGAGGACAAAGAGCACCAAAUGGGAUGGAGGCAGCAGCCCAAGUCAGACCCUGUUCCAGUGCCCAGCUGUGCCAGUGAGGUUCAGCUCCACCACCAUGGGACUGUGAACAAACCCAACUCAACCCGGCAAUGCUGGGUUCCCCUCCUUCCUCUGCUCCUCCAUCCUUUUUGCAUUAUUAAAUGUAUUCCAGUCUAAUAGGAUUUUAUAUAUCAUCAUUUUCCCCCGAAGUGGGAAAAAAGGAAACAAUUAGGAGCGGCAGGUCUAGCCUGGCACGAAGCAAUGCCGUUAAGCAGGAGGCUGCUACGCUGCUGUUGGUUUGGAGCCUCUUUAGCAUUUUCAUUAGUUCCCAAAGCUUUUGAUGUCCCUAAUUUACGCCACAGACACUGCAGAGGAGGCAGGCGAUGAUUAAGACAAGCUUUUACUCUUCUGGAGUGCACCGGGUACCUCGUGGCUACGGACCCUGCAUAUAAAGCAAUAUUGCUUAUUAUUCUGCGCUGUUUGUUCCAUUAAUCAUGAGCCUGCCUUGCUCUGGGAAGAGGAACUGGAAUACAGCAAUAUUCUGUCUGCUUGUUUUUAAAAUACAUGUGU